GGAGGGUUGGGUGAGUGGCUUAAACCAGCAGUUUGCUAAACUGCCGAUAUCGUAAGGUAUCCGCUGGUUCGAAUCCAGUGCCCUCCGCCA
rnacentral:tRNA from 1 species